rnacentral:rRNA from 1 species
GACGAACGCUGGCGGCGUGCUUAACACAUGCAAGUCGAGCGAUGAAGCUUCCUUCGGGAAGUGGAUUAGCGGCGGACGGGUGAGUAACACGUGGGCAACCUGCCUCAAAGUGGGGGAUAGCCCUCCGAAAGGAGGAGUAAUACCGCAUAACAUGGUUGAAUCGCAUGAUUCGAUCAUCAAAGGAGCAAUCCGCUUUGAGAUGGGCCCGCGGCGCAUUAGCUAGUUGGUGAGGUAGAGGCUCACCAAGGCGACGAUGCGUAGCCGACCUGAGAGGGUGAUCGGCCACAUUGGGACUGAGACACGGCCCAGACUCCUACGGGAGGCAGCAGUGGGGAAUAUUGCGCAAUGGGCGAAAGCCUGACGCAGCAACGCCGCGUGGGUGAUGACGGUUUUCGGAUUUGUAAAGCCCUGUCUUCGAGGACGAUAAUGACGGUACUCGAGGAGGAAGCCACGGCUAACUACGUGCCAGCGCCG